UACGUUCCCGGGUCUUGUACACACCGCCCGUCACACCACGAAAGUCGGUAAUACCCGAAGCCGGUGGCCUAACCUUUUAGGAGGGAGCCGUCGAAGGUAGGAUCGAUGAUUGGGGUG
rnacentral:rRNA from 1 species